UCCGGGAUGGUCUAACGGUUAUGAUUUCCGCUUGUCACGCGGGAGACCGGGGUUCGACUCCCCGUCGCGGAG
rnacentral:tRNA from 1 species